GGGUGAACGGCAACGACGGAUUGGGAGUUGCACCGGACUGUAAAUCCGGAACAUCGUAAUGGUACACUGUGGGUUCGAGUCCCUCUUCACUCACCA
rnacentral:tRNA from 1 species